GCCUCUAGCGAGAAAUAGCCCUUCGGGGUACUCGAGCGGCGAACGGGUGAGUAACACGUGAGCAACCUGCCCCAAGCUUUGGGAUAACCCUCGGAAACGGGGGCUAAUACCGAAUAGGACUUCCGGCCGCAUGGCUGGGGGUGGAAAGUUUUUCGGCUUGGGAUGGGCUCGCGGCCUAUCAGCUUGUUGGUGGGGUGAUGGCCUACCAAGGCGACGACGGGUAGCCGGCCUGAGAGGGCGACCGGCCACACUGGGACUGAGACACGGCCCAGACUCCUACGGGAGGCAGCAGUGGGGAAUAUUGCACAAUGGGCGGAAGCCUGAUGCAGCGACGCCGCGUGAGGGAUGACGGCCUUCGGGUUGUAAACCUCUUUCAGCAGGGACGAAGCGAGAGUGACGGUACCUGCAGAAGAAGCACCGGCCAACUACGUGCCAGCAGCCGCGGUAAGACGUAGGGUGCGAGCGUUGUCCGGAUUUAUUGGGCGUAAAGAGCUCGUAGGCGGCUUGUCGCGUCGACCGUGAAAACUUGGGGCUCAACCCCAAGCCUGCGGUCGAUACGGGCAGGCUAGAGUUCGGUAGGGGAGACUGGAAUUCCUGGUGUAGCGGUGAAAUGCGCAGAUAUCAGGAGGAACACCGGUGGCGAAGGCGGGUCUCUGGGCCGAUACUGACGCUGAGGAGCGAAAGCGUGGGGAGCGAACAGGAUUAGAUACCCUGGU
rnacentral:rRNA from 1 species